rnacentral:rRNA from 1 species
UACGUAGGGUGCAAGCAUUAAUCGGAUUUAUUGGGCGUAAAGGGCGCGUAGGCUGGAACGUAAGUCAGAUGUGAAAUCCCGGGGCUCAACCCCGGAACUGCAUUUGAAACUGUGUUUCUAGAGGGUAGGCGGAGAAAACGGAAUUCCACAAGUAGCGGUGAAAUGCGUAGAUAUGUGGAAGAACACCAGUGGCGAAGGCGGUUUUCUAGCUUAUACCUGACGCUGAGGCGCGAAAGCAAGGGGAGCAAACAGG